UUUGACCUCAAAUCAGGUAGGAUUACCCGCUGAACUUAAGCAU
rnacentral:rRNA from 2 species